AGCAAGAAGAAACGUUCCAGUGCAGUUUAGUGCAGGAAUAGAAAACAAGCCUACAGAAUGCACUGAACCGCACCGAGAUUUUCGGCAGUGCGGUUCAGUGCGUUCCGUACUUAUAGUUUAGUAUAAAAUUGAUACAACAUAUAUAACAGUAGGAAAUGGCAAAAAUAUGAUGGAAAAAAUAUUGUUAUUAGACGAACUAUUAGAUAGUUCAAGCAGUUCCAGCAAUAAAGAGAUAAUGACAAUAUUAAUGAAAUGUGAAAAUAUUCCAAAAGUAAAAAAUAUGAUGGAAAUUAUUAAUAAAUAAUCUGACAAGGAGGUAUGCUAUACGAAAUUUCAACAUAUUUUAAAUAUUUGUUAUUUUAGAUUUAAAACAUCUGUUAUUAGUUUCAGCGACAUUUUUGUUUGAAAAAAAGCACGUUCGAUAUAUUGAAUAAUAUGUAUUUAAAUUUGGAAAUUUAUAAUACAACAACAGAGUAUGGUGAGCGUAAAACAAUAAAUAGUGAUGUACAGCUAUUAGCCCUGUUAUGGUUUGCAGGAAACAAAUGUGUGAUACGGGACAUGCAUUGCAUCUAGAUUUAAUGUAGCAAAAUCUAUUUUUCAUUCUAUCAUAACAAAUGUUAUGAAAUAUUUUAAUUAUAUUGCUCCAAAUAUGAUAAAAAUGCCAGAUACAGAAGAUAGAAAAAGAUUAGUUGCUCGUAAAUUUGAAGAUGUGCGUAGUUUUUUUAUGUUUAAAAAAAUGCAUAACAGUUGACUAAUAAUUUAUUAGUGGUAGUAAUCAAUAUAAAAAUACGCACUCCGAGCAAGUACGGUCGUUUUCAUUAUAGUUGCGACACUUUUUUUUGGAUGCAUUUCUGAACGCGCAACUAUAACGAGAGAUGAGAACGACUGUAGUUGUGGAGGUUAGCGCGAAAUAUCAAACGUUGGUAUACAAGGUGUCGCAAAUAAAAUUUGGGUACCUUGGAGGAAAUAUAAGAUAAGUAUACUCGCAAAUAUUUUUCAAAUAGAUUUUU